ensembl:snRNA U6 U6 spliceosomal RNA
GUGCUUGCUACGGCUGCACAUAUACUAAAACUGUAUCGAUGCAGAGAAGAUUAGCAUGGCCCCUGCGAAAGGAUGACACGCCAAUCCGUGAAGCGCUCCAUAUUUUU